AAAUAUAUAUAUAUAAUAUAUUAUAUCCAUAAGAAAAUAUUCACAAUAAGUUGCAAGGGAACAAAUUCAAAUACUUGAUUGGACAGGUUACGAAAUGGAAGCCAAAUACAAAAAGGCCUAGAGGACGUCCUAGACAAAGAUGGAAGGAUAGAGUGGUCAAGGACUUGAGGGAACUUGGAAUAGAGGACGGGGAAGAGCUGGCAAGAGACCGAGACAGGUGGAGGCAAGUGGUUGUUGCGGCAAUGGGCCUGAAUGGCCUGUAAACGCCU